rnacentral:rRNA from 1 species
UAAUACAUAAGUAACCUGCCCUAGACAGGGGGAUAACUAUUGGAAACGAUAGCUAAGACCGCAUAGGUACGGACACUGCAUGGUGACCGUAUUAAAAGUGCCUCAAAGCACUGGUAGAGGAUGGACUUAUGGCGCAUCAGCUGGUUGGCGGGGUAACGGCCCACCAAGGCGACGAUGCGUAGCCGACCUGAGAGGGUGACCGGCCACACUGGGACUGAGACACGGCCCAG